rnacentral:rRNA from 1 species
UACGUAGGGUGCAAGCGUUGUCCGGAAUUAUUGGGCGUAAAGAGCUCGUAGGUGGCCUGUCGCGUCGGCUGUGAAAACUCGGGGCUCAACUCCGAGCUUGCAGUCGAUACGGGCAGGCUAGAGUUCGGUAGGGGAGACUGGAAUUCCUGGUGUAGCGGUGAAAUGCGCAGAUAUCAGGAGGAACACCGGUGGCGAAGGCGGGUCUCUGGACAGUUCCUGACACUGAGACACGAAGGCCAGGGGAGCAAACGGG